CUGAGGUGGAGGGGGAUGGAGACAUAGAGGCAGGGGACUUCAGAGUACCAAAAAAAAAUAUUCAUAACUAUUUAAAGUGUGUGAUAUGCUGCUGCUUCAGACUCUCCACAGCAGCUGACUCGGAUUUGUCUCCUGCUCUGGCAGGGGCAUGAUAUUGACAGCUGAAGAUAGUUUACAUUUGGAAUUCUGGGGACUCUUCAGAGGGUAUAAAAAUGUCAGAUCGGGCCAUGAAUACAUGAAUCACUGGCUUGAAGUCUAAACUUACUUCAGCCACUGCCUAUGACAGUCCCACUCUAGGGACUCAUUUUUCUCAACUCCAGCCUUGGUCUGCGAUGCUGCUCAGUAAUAAGGAGGCAUUGGAAAAAAAAAAAAAAAAAACAACCUAACUAACCUCCAGCACAUGGAAAUAUAACUGUGUCAGAUUCAAGUUUAACAGUACCAAAGAGGUCGUGAGGACAGCUUGUGUCAGAAGUCAACUUGUAAGAGUCGGCAUUCUCCUUCCAAACAAGUGAGUCUCUGGGCAGAGCUCACGUUGUCAGGCUUUAUGUGCCAAGCCGUCCAUCUCACCAGCUCCAUGUUGUUGAAGAAACAAAACAGAAAAACCCUUUACUGGAGCAGAUGGUUCAGGGGUUAAGAGUUCUCAUUACUUUUGCACAGAAUCCAGCUUUGGUUCCCAGCACCCACAUGGCAGCUCACAAUACUUUGAAACUCUAGUUCUAGGGAAUCCAGUUCUCACUUCUGGCAUCCAUGAGCAUUUAAAGAAACAAAUGCUACAGGAACAUUCAUCCAGGUAAAUAUUCAUAAACAAAAAACAAAAAAGACUUCUGGGUAAAAUAAUGGAAUAGAAGCUGCAUCAGAUGGAGUAGCUGAUUACAGAUUAGGAAAAAAGGUGGGGUGGGGAGCAGGAAUGUUUUAUCAAUCCAUUAGCUGUUUCUUCAGACCUGGAUUAACCUGCUCAGCAUCUCAAACAACCCUUUCUACUAUCUGGCCACAAAUUUUAUCUACAGCGGAAUCUGACUUGCUCUCCUGUCAUAGGGGCAUUUUCCUCCAGGCAAAAUGGGCUAAAAGACUGACUAGAAACUCCACAAAAGCAGAGUCUUGGAGACUUCACAGAAGAGCUUCCCAGUGACUACUUCCAAGGCCACCAUCAGCUCUCCAACAGGGAAAGACAAAGCUGUGGGAGGUAAACACGAAGUAUGAAUAAUGAAUGAGGUACCAUACAACCGCUAGCCACUGCUGACUAUGUGGGAACACAGAAGCUAAGCCUGGGCAGUGGAUAGCUUCAUCUAUCAACAUGCCAGAGAACAGUCAAGAAAACAUUUGCAAAUGGAGCUGGAAGCCCACAGGGAAAAUGGGACUGUUCAGAUGCAGCAGGAGCACAGCUGGGACCUGAGCUAAGCUAGCAAAGCCGUGCAUCAGCCAAUGAGAGGAACUCUACACUCAGGCCAGUAAUCUCAUUUUCUUACAUUUCCACACAACUCCUCUUCCCCUCUAUACCUAUUUUUUUUUUUAAGUUUUUAUAUUCCUUUUACUUUAUGUGUGGGUGUUCUGUCCUCAUAUAUGUAUGUGUACCACAUGUAUGUGUAGAGUCUGUGGAGGUUAGAAGAGGGUAUGUGGAUGGUUGUAAACCACCCUCUGGGUGAUGAGAAUCAAGCCUGUGUCCCCUAGAAGAGCAACGACUGCUCUUAGCUGUAAAGCUAUCUCUCCACCUCUACCAUUACAGCUACUCUUCCCUGCCAGUGAUUCCACUAUCUCCAGCUCUCCCCACUCCCCUACAGCUUAACUUCUUAUCUAGAUAGAGCAGAGGCACUGAAGCAAGACAGCACUGUCCCUGGCUGAUUUCACCUUCUGCUGUCUCACACACCUUUGUGCUAGCGAGCACCCCACCCAUUUCUGUCUCCAACUGUCUCUCUGUGUCUCUGUCUCUGUCUGUCUCUCUCCCCCCAUCCUAUCCUCUCCUAUUUUCCCUUCCUUUCUUUUUCUUUUUCCCUUCUUUCUUGCUCUUUCUCUUUCCCAUACUCGUUCCUCUUACUGUGACAUCUCUCAAAGCCCAGAGGCUGACCUUAUAGUCUACUAUAAAACAAAACGCCUCAUAUCCACCUAUUCUUCCUAUGUAUAGCUCUCUACUUCCCAUAUAAACAAAUGCUCAUCACUGCUGUCACGGUGAUUGCUAACCUCUUCCUUUCUCUUCCUUUGCAUUUAUCCUAACAUAUUACUAUACACAGUAUCAUUAUGGUCUCCUCACUCCCAAAAUUAACCAGCACCUAACAAGAGUCAGUUUUGAAGUCUUCUGCUACUCUAUUAUCAGAGUGGAUUAAAUACUAGAUAGUGACAGUUGCUGCAGGCAGCAGUCAACCCAUAGGGGCAGAUUGAAGGUAGAGCCAGAUGCCUGGAACAUCAGUCUAAGAAGCUGAAAUAUCCUCAACAACUAUACUACAAUCCAGUCUCUCUUGAACAUUGCAAAUUAAUCCACUGAAAGGAAAGACGCAACCUGGAUUUAAAAGAACAAAACCAGCAAGUCUAAACUAAUGAUCUAACAUCUGAUGAGCAGAUCUCAGCACAAAGACACAAAUAACAUGAAAAACAAACAAAACAAAACAAACAAGGCAAUUGUCUCCUCCAAAAUUUACAGAACCCAUACUAAUGGCCCCUAAUUAAAAUGACUUAGAUAAAUUUCCAGGGGCAUGUGUGUUAUUUUAAUAUAUAUGACAAAAUAGAUUCAAGUCAACUCUUUAUCAUUUGUUGGGUCCCUCCCUUCUGCCUCAGCUCCAAGACAUUGGAGCUUGCCACCAGAAACUCAACUCAUACCUGCUGUGCCUAAAACAAAGGCUCACUACUCUGAGUUCUGCCUUCGAGGAUUCCAGAGGAAAGUAUGCCUGCUGUCUGGCACUGCUGCAGGCUGAGGACAUCUGUUGUUGACCCUCUCCCCCACUGUGGGCUGCACCUCCGGCCACUCCCCGGAGUCGAGACCUGCAGGGAUGCCCUGAGCUGCCACCUUCAGCCCAGCAGCCCGGCUUCCCUUUGACUUCCCCUUUGACUUUGUUUGGACUCUUCCUGACUCCUCCC